GCUGGGCAUGGUGGCGCGUGCCUGUAAUCCCAGCUACUCGGGAGGCUGAGGCAGGAGAAUCACUUGAACCAGGAAGUUGGAGGUUGUGGUGAGCCAAAAUCGCGCCACUGCACUCCAGCCUGGCGACAGAGUGAGACUCUGUCUCAA
rnacentral:SRP_RNA from 1 species